rnacentral:rRNA from 1 species
GCCGAACUUGGCGGCGUGGAUUAGGCAUGCAAGUCGUACGCUCCGCAAGGGGCGUGGCGCAAGGGUGAGUAAGGCGACGGCAACCAACCCGCGGCCGGGCAUAGCCACUCGAAAGGGUGGGUAAUUCCCGGCGGCCCAGGAGACCGGCAUCGGUUUCUUGGGAAAGGUGAGACUCCGCCGUGGGACGGACCGUCGUGGUAUCAGCUUGUUGGCGGGGUAAUGGCCCACCAAGGCGAUGACGCCUACCGGGCGUGCGAGCGUGGCCCGGCACACUGGGACUGAGACACUGCCCAGACUCCUACGGGAGGCUGCAGUCGAGAAUCUUCGGCAAUGGGCGCAAGCCUGACCGAGCGACGCGCGUGGAGGACGAAGGCCUUCGGGUUGUAAACUCCUGUCGAGGGGGAACAAGGGGCCGUGCAGAGCGGUCCUUGAGUGAUCCCUGGAGGAAGCACGGGUAAGUUCGUGCCAGCAGCCGCGGUAAGACGAACCGUGCGAACGUUAUUCGGAAUCACUGGGCUUAAAGCGCGUGUAGGCGGCCCGGCACGUCCGUCGCUGAAAUCCCCCGGCUCAACCGGGGAAGUGGCGUGGAUACGACCGGGCUGGAGGGGGGUAGGGGGAGCCGGAACUUCCGGUGGAGCGGUGAAAUGCGUUGAGAUCGGAAGGAACGCCCGUGGCGAAAGCGGGCUCCUGGACCCCACCUGACGCUGAGACGCGAAAGCCAGGGGAGCGAACGGGAUUAGAUACCCCGGUAGUCCUGGCCGUAAACCAUGAGCACGGGGUAGAGGGCUCGCCGAUGGGCUCUCUGCCGUAGGGAAACCGUGAAGUGCUCCGCCUGGGGAGUAUGGUCGCAAGGCUGAAACUCAAAGGAAUUGACGGGGGCUCACACAAGCGGUGGAGCAUGUGGCUUAAUUCGAGGCUACGCGCAAAACCUUAUCCUGGGCUUGACAUGCACGGAUUAGCUGGCGGAAACGUCAGUGAGGCCGCAAGGUACAACGUGCACAGGUGCUGCAUGGUGUCGUCAGCGCGUACCGUGAGAUGUUGGGUUAAGUCCCUAACGAGCGAAGGCCUUGCCUCUAGUUGCCAGCGGGUCAUGCCGGGAACUCUAGAGGGACCGCACGCGUUAAGCCGGAGGAAGGCGGGAUGACGUCAAGUCCUCAUGGCCCUUAUGCCCAGGGCUGCACACGUGCUACAAUGGGACGGACAAGCGUCGCGAUACCGCAAGGUCUGGCUAAUCGCAUCCCGUCCCUCAGUUCGGAUUGUGGGCUGCAACCCGCCCACAUGAAGCUGGAAUCGCUAGUAAUCGCGGAUCAGCAUGCCGCGGUGAAUGGGUUCCUGAGCCUUGUACACACCGCCCGUCAAGCCACCAAAGCGGGUAGCAUCCGAAGUCGCCGGAGCCUCACGGCAGGCGCCAGAUGAGCCCCGUGAUGGGGGUC